GACGAACGCUGGCGGCGUGCUUAACACAUGCAAGUCGAACGGAAAGGCCCUGCUUUUGUGGGGUGCUCGAGUGGCGAACGGGUGAGUAACACGUGAGUAACCUGCCCUUGACUUUGGGAUAACUUCAGGAAACUGGGGCUAAUACCGGAUAGGAGCUCCUGCUGCAUGGUGGGGGUUGGAAAGUUUCGGCGGUUGGGGAUGGACUCGCGGCUUAUCAGCUUGUUGGUGGGGUAGUGGCUUACCAAGGCUUUGACGGGUAGCCGGCCUGAGAGGGUGACCGGCCACAUUGGGACUGAGAUACGGCCCAGACUCCUACGGGAGGCAGCAGUGGGGAAUAUUGCACAAUGGGCGGAAGCCUGAUGCAGCAACGCUGCGUGCGGGAUGACGGACUUCGGGUUGUAAACCGCUUUCGCCUGUGACGAAGCGUGAGUGACGGUAAUGGGUAAAGAAGCACCGGCUAACUACGUG
rnacentral:rRNA from 1 species